ACACCGAUGGUGAAGUGGUUAUCAUGCUUGCCUUCCAUUUGAGGUAGCAAGCGGCACGGGUUCGAUUCCCGUUCGGUGUA